GUCCAACUCCCUGCAAAGCCGGGGCCAACGGUACGAAAAGAACAAAACGGAAAAUGACUCUAAAACCCAAAUGACGGGAGCAGUUGAAUGCUAGAUGAGGUUGCAUCAACGAUCUUACAGUCCCCAAGCAUCUCUAGGGCCCUCUGACGCCCCCUAGACCGGCGAAAAUAUAGUGUAAUUAGAUUUAGGACGUUUUAAAUAAAAUUAACAAAAUAAAACCGUUA